rnacentral:tRNA from 1 species
UCCCGGGGUUGUCCACAGGGACGGCCCCGGGAUUCGUCGUGUCCCGCCUAUCGUCCUGAUCCCCGGCGCCGGUCCCGACGGCGCCCCGGGAG